AAGGAUCAUUACCGAAUUGUCAACAAGAGUUGUUGCUGGUCCUCAAAUGAAGGGGGCAUGUGCACGCUCUGUUCACACAUCCACUCACACCCUGUGCACCCCUCUGUAGUUCUAUGGUCCAGGGGGCCUGUCCUCCUGCUGUGGUUCUGCAUCUUUACACACACACUGUAACAAAGUCUCAUGGAAUGCAUGCCGCGUUUAACGCAAUACAAUACAACUUUCAGCAACGGAUCUCUUGGCUCUC
rnacentral:misc_RNA from 1 species